AGUAACGCGUGAGGAACCUGCCUUCCAGAGGGGGACAACAGUUGGAAACGACUGCUAAUACCGCAUGACACAUUUGAAUCGCAUGGUUUGAAUGUCAAAGAUUUAUCGCUGGAAGAUGGCCUCGCGUCUGAUUAGCUAGUUGGCAGGGUAACGGCCUACCAAGGCGACGAUCAGUAGCCGGACUGAGAGGUUGACCGGCCACAUUGGGACUGAGAUACGGCCCAGACUCCUACGGGAGGCAGCAG
rnacentral:rRNA from 1 species